rnacentral:rRNA from 1 species
AACGAACGCUGGCGGCAUGCCUAACACAUGCAAGUCGAACGAGACCUUCGGGUCUAGUGGCGCACGGGUGCGUAACGCGUGGGAACCUGCCCUUAGGUUCGGAAUAACUCCCCGAAAGGGGUGCUAAUACCGGAUAAUGUCUUCGGACCAAAGAUUUAUCGCCUUUGGAUGGGCCCGCGUUGGAUUAGCUAGUUGGUAGGGUAAAAGCCUACCAAGGCGACGAUCCAUAGCUGGUCUGAGAGGAUGAUCAGCCACACUGGGACUGAGACACGGCCCAGACUCCUACGGGAGGCAGCAGUGGGGAAUAUUGGACAAUGGGCGAAAGCCUGAUCCAGCAAUGCCGCGUGAGUGAUGAAGGCCUUAGGGUUGUAAAUCUCUUUUACCCGGGAUGAUAAUGGCAGUACCGGGAGAAUAAGCUCCGGCUAACUCCGUG